rnacentral:lncRNA from 1 species
GAAAUCCUGACCGCUAGCAAAGACUAAAGCGAGGAACUCAUUGAGCACUUCAGCCUUCCUUCCAUCUGUCGUUGCCCUUUCUCACUUAUGAGAAGGUGGCUGCAUUUGAACAGCAGCACAGCUGGAACAUUAACUAACUAAAAGUGAAGUUAAUAACUGCAGACUUCCACACGAAGGUACAAUAUACAUCCUCAAGCCAGGGAAGCCCUACCGCAUCUGAGAAAGGCUGCCUUGCAGAAAUUCAGC